rnacentral:rRNA from 1 species
AUUGAACGCUGGCGGCAUGCUUUACACAUGCAAGUCGAACGGUAACAGGCCGCAAGGUGCUGACGAGUGGCGAACGGGUGGGUAAUGCAUCGGAACGUGCCCAGGCGUGGGGGAUAACGCAGCGAAAGCUGUGCUAAUACCGCAUCCGAUCUAUGGAUGAAAGCGGGGGACCGUAAGGCCCCGCGCGAUUGGAGCGGCCUAUGUCAGAUUAGGUAGUUGGUGGGGUAAAGGCUCACCAAGCCAACGAUCUGUAGCUGGUCUGAGAGGACGACCAGCCUCACUGGGACUGAGACACGGCCCAGACUCCUACGGGAGGCAGCAGUGGGGAAUUUUGGACAAUGGGCGCAAGCCUGAUCCAGCAAUGCCGCGUGCAGGAAGAAGGCCUUCGGGUUGUAAACUGCUUUUGUACGGAACGAAAAGGUUUGGGUUAAUACCCUGGGCCGAUGACGGUACCGUAAGAAUAAGCACCGGCUAACUACGUGCCAGCAGCCGCCGUAA